rnacentral:tRNA from 1 species
GGCUGUGUAGCUCAGUGGCAGUAGCGCGAGUCUCAUAAGCUCGAGGCCGGGAGUUCGAUCCUCCUCACAGCCA